rnacentral:rRNA from 1 species
UAGGGAAUCUUCGGCAAUGGGGGGAACCCUGACCGAGCAACGCCGCGUGAGUGAAGAAGGUUUUCGGAUCGUAAAGCUCUGUUGUUAAGGAAGAACGAGUGUGAGAAUGGAAAGUUCAUGCUGUGACGGUACUUAACCAGAAAGGGACGGCUAACUACGUGCCAGCAGCCGCGGUAAUACGUAGGUCCCGAGCGUUGUCCGGAUUUAUUGGGCGUAGAGCGAGCGCAGGCGGUUAGAAAAGUCUGAAGUGAAAGGCAGUGGCUCAACCAUUGUAGGCUUUGGAAACUGUUUAACUUGAGUGCAGAAGGGGAGAGUGGAAUUCCCAGUGUAGCGGUGAAAUGCGUAGAUAUUGGGAGGAACACCAGUAGCGAAGGCGGCUUUCUGGACUGCAACUGACACUGAGGCACGAAAGCGUGGGUAGCAAACAGG